UACGGGGGGAGCAAGCGUUGUUCGGAUUUACUGGGCGUAAAGGGCGCGUAGGCGGCCACCGCAAGUCGACUGUGAAAUCUCCGGGCUUAACCCGGAAAGGUCAGCCGAUACUGCGGGGCUAGAGUGCAGAAGGGGCAACUGGAAUUCUCGGUGUAGCGGUGAAAUGCGUAGAUAUCUGGAGGAACACCGGUGGCGAAGGCGGCGUUCUGGACUGUCUCUGACACUGAAGAACGAAAGCCAGGGGAGCAAACGGG
rnacentral:rRNA from 1 species